GUGUGUUCUGGUCCUGGUCCUGCUCCAGCACGGCAGCACAUACAGGCUGGCGUUCGAGCCUGUGAGGCUCUGAGCCUUGGCUCCACUGCUGCUGCUCCUUUACUGCUAGUGCUACAUGGCUCCACUAGAAGCAAAUCAAGCAAUAACAAGAACAUGGCUACUGCCUACUAUUCUGGCAUAUCUAGAAAGGAUGGAUUAUCUGCUGAAGUACUAUCAUUUGGCAGAUAGUAUUGGAUGUAUAUGCAUGUCGUAGAGGUCUAACAACGAACCAGCGCCUAUCGUCAGGAACCCAAAGAUUUGUUGUUGCUAGAGCUAAGCCAGAUGUAGAACGAGGACACCAUUGAUCUUCUAUAAGCCUGAACUUGUAAGGCAAGGAUCUUAUUUCUUGCUCUUCGGUGAUGGAUUUUGAUUGCAGUUCUAGCUAGCUAGUAUAUUAGAUUUCUUCAUGGAUUUUUAGAUCUAUAGAAAGAGUGGAACUUGUGGAUUUGACAAACUUGUGGAACUUGUUAUGAUAGAACUUUUGAAUUUGUAAAUUUGAUGAUGGAACUUGAAUUUGAUGUUUGUGAUGUGAUGUGCUCAGAUUUAAUAUUAUAUA